UCCUUGGAGUAGGGAAUCCAACUGAAUUCUGGUUAACAUAAUUAUAGAGCUGGAAUUAGUGGAAGCUGAAACACAGUUUACUACAUAGCUUGUAGUGCUUUAAUUUUCUUGGUUGUUUAUGCUCAUGUCCUCAUCUAGCAUGAGACACAUUGAAGAUUUGUUGCUCUUCUGGUGAUAGGAGGAGAGAGGAGGCAAAGGGAAUGUUGCUCGUGCCUUGGCUUGACCUAAAGUGUCUCUCACUUGUUUGAAAUCUAAUAUUGUCCAAAAACCCAAAAUGAUGAAGCCAAGUUAGCUACCCAAGUGAUCUGUCAAAUGUGUUUCCUAGUCCUACUAUCAUAAUACCUGAGAAGUAUAAAAUAUUGUCCACAAUUGACCUUCCUUGGGCCUUCUCAGUUGCUGCACACGCUGUCCUGGAUCCAUUGAGAUUCCAUAGCUUGCAACAUGUGAAUCUUGAAGAAAACUAAAGGAUCCUUGGGUCAAAUGGCUAUUUUUUGAAGACAUUGUCAAGGUUUUUUUUGUUGAACUCUUGUUGAACUAUUGCUUCUUUGAUAUGUAUUGGCAAUCCUACUGCAAUACUCAUAACUGUUGAAAAAUCUCUAAAUUAGCAUGUAAUUUGUUGACAUAGCAGCUAUGUAAGUUGCUUGGAUGAUGUACUUUUGCACCA